rnacentral:rRNA from 1 species
GCGUAUAUUAAAGUUGUUGCAGUUAAAAAGCUCGUAGUCGGAUUUCGGGCUCGGGCAGGCUGUCGGCCUCGGUCGGACGGCAGGCUCGGGCCUUUCUGCCUGGGGACUCCGUCACACUUAACUGUGGGGCGGUUGGACGCAGGCCGUUUACUUUGAAAAAAUUAGAGUGUUCAAAGCAGGCCUACGCUUGAAUACAUUAGCAUGGAAUAAUGGAAUAGGACUUUGGUGCUAUUUUGAUGGUUUAUGGGACUGAAGUAAUGAUUAACAGGGACAGUUGGGGCCGUUUAUAUUUCGUUGUCAGAGGUGAAAUUCUUGGAUUUACGAAAGAUAAACUUCUGCGAGAGCAUUCGGCAAGGAUGUUUUCAUUGAUCAAGAACGAAAGUUAGGGGAUCGAAGACGAUCAGAUACCGUCGUAGUCUUAACCAUAAACUAUGCCGACUAGGGAUCAGUGGAUGUCAAUUUGCGACUCCAUUGGCACCUUGUGAGAAAUCAAAGUUUUUGGGUUCCGGGGGGAGUAUGGUCGCAAGGCUGAAACUUAAAGGAAUU